rnacentral:ncRNA from 1 species
CUUAACUACGGUUGAGGGAGAAUAGGGAAUCGGGUGUAAAUCCCGGACGGUAACGCCGCUGUAACGAGCGACAAGGGUCUAUAUAAGCCACUACUCAUGUGUGGGAAGGCUAGACCUAAGGAUGACCUCGAAGCCAGAAGACCUGCUUUAUCU